AGACACGCAUCUUCUUCCUAAAACCCCGCCCACAGAGUCACGACGCACUCACGUAAUAAGAGAUUAAGAGCGCGUGAUUUGAACGCCAAAGAAGAAAUGAAUAUGGAACAACAGAGAAGUAAGAAGCACCAGGACCUUCUGAUUAUACAGUCGUUUUCCUAGAAGAAAUUGCAUCCCCUGGAUUCACAGCAUCUGAGAAUCCUGUGAAAGUCAAGGGCAGCUAUAAAAGUGUUGACAGCAGUGUUUGAGGGCUCAGGACCACCACACCAGCAGGGAAGCAAGGUGGAGUCUUUGUAUAUGUUGAAGACGGUGUUUGUGAAUGUGUGCGAGUUUGACAGUGGUGCCGGUGAUAGAGAUGACCUCUUGUGGGCCACAGUGUGCUGUGAGGAGAAAAGAAUCUCCACAUUGCUGCCCAGGCUGGAAUUUGUGCUUGUGAAGUAUUUAACUUUAUGAAAUCCCGAUUGCACUCUGCAGGAAGGGUUGUACUUUUUUGCCAAGAGCUUUGCUCUUCAGGUGGCUCUUGUGUCUGGAUCCUAAAUGUGUGUGUACAGUAUGUGGAGUACUUGAGGAUUGAUUGGAUAAUGGAUCUGCUGUCAGUGAGGUGAAAGUGAGCUAAUGUAAGAAGAAGGCUGAAAAUAUAGCUAUAUAUGUUAUAACCUCAUACAGU